GUGCUAAGGUAGCAUAAUCAUUUGCUACUUAAUUGGUAGCUGGGAUGAAAGGUUAAACUAGUUUACUCAGUUUGUUGUGUUUUGUAAGAAAUUAAAGUCGAGGUAAGAAUUCUUUGAUCUGCUAGGGGACGAUAAGACCCUAGAAGCUUAACAAUAAGAGUAUUUAUUAGUUAUAAAAAUUAAUUUGGUUUACUGGGGCGGCAAAGGUAUAUAAACUACUAGUGUAUUGAUAGAUCCUUAAAAUAAAGAUAAAGCGGGAAAGUUACUCUAGGGGUAACAGGGCAAUAUUUUUGGAGAGAUCAUAUCAAUAAAAAUGUUUGCAACCUCGAUGUUGAAUUAAGAUGUCUACGUGAAGAAGCAGGUACGUGAGAAGGUUGGUUCAACCUUUAAAUUUUUACGUGAUCUGAGUUCAUACCG
rnacentral:rRNA from 1 species